rnacentral:tRNA from 1 species
UCUCUGGUGGGCCAAUGGUUAAGACUUCCUGCUUCCAAUGCAGGGAAUGUGGGUUUGAUCCCUAUUCAGGGAA